rnacentral:lncRNA from 1 species
AUCCUAUCACUGGGGCUGAAGAGCCCUAUUUCCCAGAGACUCAACGACUGAGUCGUACUCUAACUGGUAACAUGGUCACCAUUCUAAUGAUUGCCAUCGUUUUGAUAUUCCUAUUAGCCAUUAUCCUGUAUCGAACCAUCCUAAGCAUCAUUAUCUACAGAUCACAGAAUGCCUUCUUCAUAUUUUCAGCUUUCCUGAUUGCCUUCACGUCUGAUUUCCUGCCGCGGCUCUUUUAUCGCUACACUAGGCAGCAUGAGAGGAUACGUCAACUUCACCCUCUCAGCGGCCCCUGCAAACUUCACCCAAAGACACAUGACAUGCAGGUGAAGAUCAAACUGUUUCUAUAAUGCGGUACUGUUCCAUAGUUUGAAGUUGGUAAGA